AUGUCUGGUCGUCAAUAUACCUGGGCCAACAACCGUUCGGUGCCGACCUUUGAAAAACUGGACUGGGUGCUAGUUACCACUGACUGGGAAUACAAAUAUCCCCUAGCAUCGGUUCGGGCACUUGAAAGAAUUGAGGCCUUAUCGGAUCACGCUCCGUUGCUAAUUGAUUUUGGACAACCAAUCCCGAGUUCUAAUCGCCACCAGUUUAAAUUUAAACUGGGAUGGCUCAUUAGAGAGGAAUUUCAGGAGCUAGUUAAGAAAGUGUGGGCACGCCAGCCCCGCGGUAACACACCCAUCCAAAGAUGGAAUAAUCGAAUCCGCGCCUUGCGUCGAUUCCUUCGAGGAUGGGCCAAGCAUACUGCUGGAAUUUACAAAAAAGAAAAACUGUGUUUGUCUACCCUAAUUGAUUCCCUUUAUAAAAUAGCGGAGGUGAGGCCUCUGUCUGCUGUUCAGAUUGAGCAAAAAAGCAAUCUUAACGAGCAGAUUGCCCGUCUACUACGUGAGGAGGAGAUUAAAUGGUACCAACGUAGCAAGGCGGAUUCGUUGAUGCAAGGUGAUGAUAAUACGAAAUACUUUCAAAUGCUAGCCAAUGGUAGACAUAGAAAGAAGCAUAUUUUCGCCCUUGACCAGGAGGAAAGCCGAAUAGAGGGGGACGUACCACUUAGAAAUUUUAUCACUAAGUUUUACAAAGACCUUUUUGGGCCUUUAGCCGAGACUAAUUUUCAUCUAGACGAAUCCGUUACUCAUGACAUCACUCAAGUUACGGAAGCGGAAAAUGAAUUCCUAACCUCUCCGUUUUCUGAGGAGGAAGUUCGAACCAUUGUGUUUCAGAUGGAACACAACAAGGCGCCGGGACCGGAUGGCUUUCCUGCAGAGUUCUAUCAAUGCUUUUGGGACGUCAUUAAGGCAGACUUGGUUCAGUUGUUUAACCAACUACAUUCCGAGGACCUUGAUAUUUCUCGUUUAAACUUUGGGGAAAUUAUCCUACUGCCUAAGAUUAAGGAGGCUAGUCGUAUUCAACAAUAUCGACCGGUUUGCCUUCUCAAUGUAAGUUUUAAAUUUUUUACGAAGGUGGCGACUAAUCGGUUGAACGGUGUAGUUGACCAUGUCGUAAAACCCACACAAACAGCAUUUAUGCAAGGUCGCAACAUUUUAGAUGGAGUGGUCGUCCUGCACGAAACUGUACAUGAACUGCACCGGAAAAAAAUGAACGGUGUCAUUCUUAAAAUUGAUUUUGAGAAAGCCUACGACAAAGUUAAGUGGCCCUUCCUGUUGUAA
rnacentral:rRNA from 1 species